UUGUUAUCCCGUAUCGUGCUAAUUCCAGGUUACAACAUUACAAUACCUCCCCACCCAUCUCCUUCUGCCUCCCCUAUUUUCUCUUAUAUUCCAUUCAACUCUAUGUGUCCUAGCUUGCCUUUUAAUUUUAAGUUGUAUUAGACCCUAAAUUGACUCUAAGCGAUUGAAGAUAUGGCUUGAUAAACAUAAAUUGAAGAUUCUUAUUACCAGCAACUUUCAUGAUGAUGGUGAUGAAUUGAAGAUUCAAAUUUAAACCCUAAAUUGAAGAUUCAGAUUGUAUGUGUUGUCUGUCGCCGCCGUCGCAAGCAUAACGGCCAAGCUUUGUCGGUGUCGAUCGAACUCCAAUUCAAGUGGUGCAAAGGCGUUUCAAGUCGUCAUUCUUACGGGUCUUUGGUGUAUUUGGAGAUCGCGAAAUGUUUUAAUCAUGACCCGAAUUCCAUGGAUAGAGUUGUUGAAGAAACCAAGGCGUUGAGUUACUUAUCGGUCAAAAGUAGAUCGAAAGAGGUGGCUACCACUCGGGAGACUUUUUUUAUUUCUCUGGUUUGUUUUCGGUAUGGUGCCUACAGUGGUGGAUUUUUCCAUGUAUGUUUCGGUGGUAGUCUAACGCCAGCUUGCUAUGCUUUUUUUUAA